rnacentral:rRNA from 1 species
CAAUAGCGUAUAUUGAAGUUGUUGCGGUUAAAAAGCUCGUCGUUGGAUUUCUGUUGAGGUCGAACAGUGCCGCCCUAUGGGUGCGCAACUGGCUCGGCUUCGGCAUCUUCUUGGAGAGCGCAUCUGCACUUAACUGUGUGGAUCGUACUUCAAGUCAGUUACUUUGAGGAAUUGUGAGUGUUUCAAGCAGGCUUACGCCGUUGAAUCCGUUAGCAUGGAAUAAUAGGAUAGGACCUCGGUUCUAUUUUGUUGGUUUUGAGAGCUGGGGCAGCGAUUGAUAGGGAAGGAUGGGGGCGUCCGAACUUUACUGUCAGAGGUGAAAUUCUUAGAUCGGUCAAAGGCGAACUACUGCGAACGCAUUCGCCAAGAAUGUUUUCUUUAA